rnacentral:rRNA from 1 species
UAGAGGAAACUCUAGCUAAUGCCGGAUGAGACCACGAUCCCUUCGGGGGUUGCGGCCAAAGAUGGCCUCUACUGUAAGCUAUCGCUGAGGGAUGGGCCUGCGGGCCAUUAGCUUGUUGGUGAGGUACGGCUCACCAAGGCUGUGAUGGCUAGCUGGUCUGAGAGGAUGACCAGCCACACUGGGACUGAGACACGGCCCAGACUCCUACGGGAGGCAGCAGUGGGGAAUAUUGCGCAAUGGGCGAAAGCCUGACGCAGCGACGCCGCGUGGGUGAUGAAGGCCUUCGGGUCGUAAAGCCCUGUCGCAGGGGAAGAAUAAGCAUCGGUAUAAUACGCCGGUGCCCUGACGGUACCCUGCAAGAAAGCACCGGCUAACUCCGUG